UAGCGAAACGGCCCCUGUGUGGGGCCGUCGCCGGAGCGUGGCGGCUCCGGCCUGAUGAGCAGCCACGG
rfam:Bilophila wadsworthia 3_1_6 genomic scaffold acCls-supercont2.2, whole genome shotgun sequence.